rnacentral:rRNA from 1 species
AUUGAACGCUGGCGGCAUGCCUUACACAUGCAAGUCGAACGGCAGCACGGGGCAACCUGGUGGCGAGUGGCGAACGGGUGAGUAAUGUAUCGGAACGUACCUUUCAGUGGGGGAUAACGUAGCGAAAGUUACGCUAAUACCGCAUAUUCUGUGAGCAGGAAAGCAGGGGAUCGCAAGACCUUGCGCUGAUUGAGCGGCCGAUAUCAGAUUAGCUAGUUGGUGAGGUAAAGGCUCACCAAGGCGACGAUCUGUAGCGGGUCUGAGAGGAUGAUCCGCCACACUGGAACUGAGACACGGUCCAGACUCCUACGGGAGGCAGCAGUGGGGAAUAUUGCACAAUGGGGGAAACCCUGAUGCAGCGACGCCGCGUGGAGGAAGAAGGUCUUCGGAUUGUAAACUCCUGUCAUUCGGGACGAAUAAUGACGGUACCGGAUGAGGAAGCCACGGCUAACUACGUG